rnacentral:rRNA from 1 species
UACGUAGGGUGCAAGCGUUAAUCGGAAUUACUGGGCGUAAAGCGUGCGCAGGCGGUGAUGUAAGACAGAUGUGAAAUCCCCGGGCUCAACCUGGGAACUGCAUUUGUGACUGCAUCGCUGGAGUGCGGCAGAGGGGGAUGGAAUUCCGCGUGUAGCAGUGAAAUGCGUAGAUAUGCGAAGGAACACCGAUGGCGAAGGCAAUCCCCUGGGCCUGCACUGACGCUCAUGCACGAAAGCGUGGGGAGCAAACAGG